GCAGCAUAACAAACAUAUUCAACUGAACUCAGUUUGAUCAGAGUAACUGAAGACAAGAUGUCUGCUCUCAUGAAUGCAGUGCUGGGCUUUGUGUUGGUUGCUGUCUUUCUGCCGGAUCUGGGCACCUGUUGGACACGAGAGGGACCGUGCUACAGCAUGGCGGAGUGCGAUGCCAAGAUUUGUUUCAACUAUUGCAAAUCAUUUCGCUACAGAUCCUCUUCAUGUGACCGUCAAGAUUUCCUCUGUCCUGUACCCACUCAGCACUUCAAAUGCCGCUGUACUGACUAUGACCCGCUAAUAAGAAUACCUACUCUAACAAAGUAGUUCAAUAAAUGAUCUCGCAUGCAAA